rnacentral:rRNA from 1 species
AUUAGAGUUUGAUCCUGGCUCAGAUUGAACGCUGGCGGCAUGCCUAACACAUGCAAGUCGGACGGCAGCGCGGGCUUCGGCCUGGCGGCGAGUGGCGAACGGGUGAGUAAUGCAUGGGAAUCUGCCCUGUCGUGGGGGAUAACGUAGGGAAACUUACGCUAAUACCGCAUACGACCUUAGGGUGAAAGCGGGGGACCGAUGAGGCCUCGCGCGAUGGGAUGAGCCCAUGUCGGAUUAGCUAGUUGGUGGGGUAAGGGCCUACCAAGGCGACGAUCCGUAGCUGGUCUGAGAGGAUGAUCAGCCACACUGGGACUGAGACACGGCCCAGACUCCUACGGGAGGCAGCAGUGGGGAAUAUUGGACAAUGGGCGCAAGCCUGAUCCAGCAAUGCCGCGUGGGUGAAGAAGGCCUUCGGGUUGUAAAGCCCUUUUGUACGGGAAGAAAUCCUGCUCGCUAAUACCGGGUGGGGAUGACGGUACCGUAAGAAUAAGCACCGGCUAACUUCGUGCCAGCAGCCGCGGUAAUACGAAGGGUGCGAGCGUUAAUCGGAAUUACUGGGCGUAAAGCGUGCGUAGGUGGUUGGUUAAGUCCGAUGUGAAAGCCCUGGGCUCAACCUGGGAAUGGCAUUGGAUACUGGCUGGCUGGAGUGCGGUAGAGGGUAGCGGAAUUUCCGGUGUAGCGGUGAAAUGCGUAGAGAUCGGAAGGAACACCCGUGGCGAAGGCGGCUACCUGGACCAGCACUGACACUGAGGCACGAAAGCGUGGGGAGCAAAACAGGAUUAGAUACCCUGGUAGUCCACGCCCUAAACGAUGCGAACUGGACGUUGGGCUCAACUUGGAGUUCAGUGUCGAAGCUAACGCGUUAAGUUCGCCGCCUGGGGAGUACGGUCGCAAGACUGAAACUCAAAUGAAUUGACGGGGACCCGCACAAGCGGUGGAGCAUGUGGAUUAAUUCGAUACUAACCGAAGAACCUUACCCAGGCUUGACAUCGAGGGAAAGCCCUGGAAACAGGGCCCUCCGCCCACAAGGCGGACCCGAAGACACCUGUUGCAUGGCUGUCGUCAGCUCGUGCCGUGAGGUGUUUGGUUAAGUCCAGCAACGAGCGCAACCCUCAUCUCGUGUUGCCAACGGGUAAAGCCGGGGACUCACGAGAAACCGCCGGCGUAAGCCGGAGGAAGGUGAGGAUGACGUCAAGUCAGCAUGGCGGUUACGCCUGGGGCUUCACACAUGCUACAAUGGGCGGAACAAAGGGCAGCAAUGCCGCGAGGCGGAGCGAAUCCCAAAAAUACGCCCUCAGUUCAGAUCGCAGUCUGCAACUCGACUGCGUGAAGUCGGAAUCGCUAGUAACCGCAGGUCAGCUAUACUGCGGUGAAUACGUUCCCGGGUCUUGUACACACUGCCCGUCAAGUCACCUGAAUUGUCUGCACCCGAAGUCCGUGGCCCAACCCGCAAGGGAGGGAGCGGCCGAAGGUGUGGGGAGUAAGGGGGACUAAGUCGUAACAAGGUAACCAAU